GACGAACGCUGGCGGCGUGCUUAACACAUGCAAGUCGAACGGAAAGGCCCUGCUUUUGUGGGGUGCUCGAGUGGCGAACGGGUGAGUAACACGUGAGUAACCUGCCCUUGACUUUGGGAUAACUUCAGGAAACUGGGGCUAAUACCGGAUAGGAGCUCCUGCUGCAUGGUGGGGGUUGGAAAGUUUCGGCGGUUGGGGAUGGACUCGCGGCUUAUCAGCUGGUUGGUGGGGUAGUGGCUUACCAAGGCUUUGACGGGUAGCCGGCCUGGGAGGGUGACCGGCCACAGUGGGACUGGGAUACGGCCCAGAGUCCUACGGGCGGCAGCGGCGGGGACUAUAGCACAAUGGCGGAAGCCUGAUGCAGCAACGCCGCGUGCGGGAUGACGGCCUUCGGGUUGUAAACCGCUUUCGCAUGUGACGAAGCGUGAGUGACGGUAAUGGGUAAAGAAGCACCGGCUAACUACGUG
rnacentral:rRNA from 1 species